UACGUAGGGGGCAAGCGUUGUCCGGAAUCAUUGGGCGUAAAGAGCGUGUAGGCGGCCCGGUAAGUCCGCUGUGAAAGUCCAGGGCUCAACCCUGGGAUGCCGGUGGAUACUGUCGGGCUCGAGUCCGGAAGAGGCGAGUGGAAUUCCUGGUGUAGCGGUGAAAUGCGCAGAUAUCAGGAGGAACACCGGUGGCGAAGGCGGGUCUCUGGGCCGAAAUUGACGCUGAGGAGCGAAAGCGUGGGGAGCAAACAGG
rnacentral:rRNA from 1 species